GAUGGGAUUUUCUCAUCUACUGCUCCAGUUCACAUACUGCGAGGUACUAGCUUUGAUAAGAUCUGGUUUUCUGGGGGAAAAAAAAGGAGAAGGAACUAGGUGAAUAUUGCCCUGGGUCCUGGUAAUUCUACCUACUGAAGACAAAAGCCCCUUCUGCUCAUAUUUCCUGAGUCAACAUGGCCGUUCCUAACUUUGAAGAGACUUUAGACAUUCUUUGUUACAAUGAGCCCAGAAGAAAGAAGAGAAAUAAUAACUGCCAUGGAAGGAUGCUCCUCCUGCCAAUUGGCACUUAUCAAUGACAUCGAGGGAGAGGGACAGAGUGCCUAGGUAUGAGCCUUCAUCAAGUAGUAUGAAGGCCCUACCCCAACAGAAAGUGCUGAUGUGAAGAAGUGAUGCUUUGGACAAGACUUUUCCUCCAAGUUGGUCCUAUCCAGAGGUUGGCAAACAGGGUCCCUGGACAUCAUCCCUGUUGUGUACUAUUAUGAAUAAAGUUCUAUAGGACAC
rnacentral:lncRNA from 1 species